UUACAAAUGUAAUCAUCUCCUUAAAAAGAAAAGAGUCUCUCUCAUUUCUAACCAGAAAUAAAAUCCUGCAGUGCAUCCUUCUUGUAAAAACAGCACAUGUAAGGCUGAAGAGAAAAAAAGAGAGAGACCUGCUGUCUGAAACAGCAGCCUUGGUUUGGCAGUCAGCCAGCAACCAGCAGAACUUAUUGCCAAUGCUGCAAAUCCCUCCUAUCAGCUAAAGAAGAUCAAGACUGCAGGGGAAACAUGAUUUUAGUCCCAUGACAAGAACUCCCUUGGAAAUGCAUAUAAGAUUUAUGAUAUGACCUUGAAUCUCUAUUACAAAAUUCUCUGAAAGAAUCAUUUCAACAAAACCCUACAAUUUAUAUAGUUAUUUUAUCAACCAUCUCAAAUCAACAUCACAGCGCAUUAUAGUAAUAUGACAGAAUCCCUCUGUGCUAAAAAGAAACCAUAUCCCACUAUUCUGGCAACUCAGCUAAAAGGAUUGAAAUUAGGGGGAGUGUCUGAAUUUACAGAAGAUAACAGCCGACAAGGGGUGAAACCGUGAAGGCGAAGAUUUCUUAGAUGAUGUUCUUCUGUACCAUUAAGAGGAUGAAAAGCACAUAUGCAAAUGAUGGAAACUCGGAUCAGAGAGGUGAAUGUCAGGCUGUGAACAGGAUUUGAUGACACAAUGUUAAUACACCUACACCUGGUCUAUAGAGGAGCUUAGACCAUUGACAGCACCAAAGAAGCCAAAUCUUUACUGACAUACCUGAAGUAACUUGACAGCUCACAUCACAAGUUAAUGGCAGAGCAAGCUAUGACUGACAACGUGACCUCACACUGUUUUUGCUUUCAGGUAAGCAUAAUGUCAACAGGAAAGGAGAAACAACAGCCUCUAAAUGAAGAGAGGGUAUGGGAGCAAAGAAAAGGGAGAAGACAUGGAUGAAAACAGUACAUGACUAUAAUACAAUGGGUACAGAGGUGGAUGGGAGGACUGUAAGGUUGCACCUCUGAUUUCUCUCCUUUCAGUUACUGAUCCAUACAAUGUUCGGGGGGUUUUGUUAUAGGAUUCUAUUCUCUUACAUGCAGGCAGUUAAUAGGAUUAUUCAUUCUGAUGGUAUAUACUAUUAUGGUCACCACUUUGUACAAAAUGUAUCCUAUUCUUGUUAAAGGGUGCCUUGUGAGGCAUCUUGAAAUGUCAUAAUCUGCUGAACAUUGUUGCCCUGGUAAAAUGUGUAUCAGUAUUGAUUGUAAAGUUACAAGAUUCUACUGUAUAACAUUGUUAUAACAUGCUCCAAGAUUAAGUAAAGCAGGCCCAAACAAGUUUUUCCACAGACAAAGACUCACUGGCACUCCAGCCAGGUGUUAAAGAGCUAUCACAGGCUUAAGCAGCCAUUCUCCAGCAAUGGAGCAGCAUUCU